rnacentral:rRNA from 1 species
UACAGAGGGUGCGAGCGUUAAUCGGAAUUACUGGGCGUAAAGGGCGCGUAGGCGGUUAUAUAAGUUAGAUGUGAAAUCCCCGGGCUUAACCUGGGAAUGGCAUUUAAUACUGUAUGACUAGAGUAGAGUAGAGGGAAGUGGAAUUUCCGGUGUAGCGGUGAAAUGCGUAGAUAUCGGAAAGAACACCAGUGGCGAAGGCGGCUUCCUGGACUCAUACUGACGUUGAGGCGCGAAAGCGUGGGUAGCAAAC